AAAAUAUGUUAUAAUUAGUAUUGGGAGUGGUGAAAAGGUGAAAAAGUGUUAUAAUUAGUAUUGGGAGUGGUGAAAUAGUGAAAAAUAAGAAUAAAUAAAGUAUUAUUAGUGGUGGGGUAGUUGCCAAAAAUGGAAAGAAAGAAAGAGGAACUUAUUUGGGGGACGUCCCAAAAAGGAAAAAGAGGAACUUAUUUCAGGGACAGAGGGAGUAAUUAUUAUGUAUAUAAAAUUGGAAUCGACAUUUGAGCUGAAACCUAACAGUGAUACGAAAAUUUGGAUACAAAAUGCCAAGUGAUCAAAACAUAGUAGAAAAUAUUUCCACAUACUGGAAAUU
rnacentral:lncRNA from 1 species